GAUGAACGCUAGCUACAGGCUUAACACAUGCAAGUCGCGGGGCAGCAUGGGGGUUGCUUGCAACUCCCGAUGGCGACCGGCGCACGGGUGAGUAACGCGUAUCCAACCUGCCCUUCACCACGGGAUAACCCGGCGAAAGUCGGACUAAUACCGUAUGUUGUCCAUUGACGGCAUCCGAUUUGGACGAAAGGCUUUGCGGUGAAGGAUGGGGAUGCGUCCGAUUAGCCAGACGGCGGGGUAACGGCCCACCGUGGCUACGAUCGGUAGGGGUUCUGAGAGGAAGGUCCCCCACACUGGAACCGGGACCCGGUCCAGACGCCUACGGGAGGCAGCAGUGAGGAAUAGUGGUCAAUGGGCGUAAGCCUGAACCAGCCAAGUAGCGUGCAGGAUGACGGCCCUAUGGGUUGUAAACUGCUUUUAUGCGGGGAUAAAGUGGCCCACGUGUGGGCUUUUGCAGGUACCGCAUGAAUAAGGACCGGCUAAUUCCGUG
rnacentral:rRNA from 1 species